rnacentral:rRNA from 1 species
GAGGACGCAAGUAUUUUGGUACUAGAGGUGAAAUUCGAAAAAUACCAAAAGACUAACAGACGCGAAGGCGGUGUUGUCCAGGGCGUUUCCGUUGAUCAAGAACGAGAGUCAAGGGAUCGAAGAUGAUUAGAUACCGUCGUAGUCUUGACCGUAAACGAUACUAUCAAGAGCUUGGGGAUAUGAAACCAUUACUGAUCUCCUCAGGAUCUAAGGGAAACCGAAAGUUUUCGAGUUCUGGGGGAAGUAUGGUCGCAAGGCUGAAACUUAAAGGAAUUGACGGAAAGGCACACCAGGUGUGGAUUCUGCGGCUUAAUUCGACUCAACACGGGGAAACUCACGAAGGCAAGAUGUGGAGAGGAUUGACAAGUUAAAGACUUUUCUUGAUUCUACAAGUGGUGGUGCAUGGCCGUUCUUAGUUCGUGGAUUAAUCUGUCUGGUUAAUUCCGAUAACGAACGAGACCUCAACCGCUCAUUAGGUGGACAGCUUUGCGAAGCUGUUCUAGCGCUUCGGCGCGUUACUUCUUAGCGGGACUAUCCGCGCUUAAGCGGAGGGAAGUUUGAGGCAAUAACAGGUCUGUGAUGCCCUAAGAUGCUUUCGGCAGCACGCGUAAUACAAUGUUAGUAUAAACGAGUUUAUAGGCUUUUCAGAGCCUUGCUGCUUCUAACGGAGUGGCUAAUCUUGUAAAAUGCUAACAUGACAGGGAUUGGCAAUUGGAAGUUUGCCAUGAACGAGGAAUACCUCGUAAUCGCAAGUCAUCAACUUGCAAUGAUUACGUCCCUGCCUUUUGUACACACCGCCCGUCGCUCCUACCAAUUGGGGAAAGAAGUGAAGUGGAAGGAUGGAAGCAUGAAGGAAUGACACAAAUCGAAUGUAUAAAUUGGCAUAAUAUCGUAGUGAAUGAAGGAACGAGAA